rnacentral:lncRNA from 1 species
UUGAAGCCAGGCCAGCCUUGUUAUAUUCUAAACGUCAUCAUUCAAAAACCCAGCCUCGUUCUCUACUCUCGCUCCUUUUUCUUCUUAUUGCGUCUUAAAAAAUAAAUGUUGUUUCUCUUUAUUUAGCUAAAGUUUUAAACUUUAUUUGAAUGUUAUAUAUUUAGCUACAACUCCUUCCAUCUCCUAGCUACUAGCUCUUUAACCCCUGUCGGUGAACAUACUUUUUUCGACGUAGUUAUGAACUAGAGUUAAUGCAAAUAUUAUGCAAAUUUCAGUCCUUGGUGUAUAGUGACAUAGACUCAAACUUAAGCUAAUUAGUCAUACCAACAUUAGAUUUGAGCAUCAACAAGAUAUAAUUUUACUGGAAUGUAGAGUCAGCUCCUUCAAACCAUACAAGAGUCACCUUAUCAAAACGAUGAUUCAAAACAAGCUCAAAAAGUAUUUGUGCAGGGGGAAAAAUAAGGCCUAAAAAGGGACAGUCUACUAAUGUAUAUGUGUGACGUUUCUCUAUUGACAAGAAAAUAAAGAAAUAAAACGGAAAUUUGUCAAAAAAAAUAUAUACGGACUUAUAUGCGUAUACACAUUCAUAAACAUACAUAAGCAUGGGAGAGAGGGGAGCUUCCCUGGAUGUCUUCUUUAGUUUUGUAUAGUAUGUGCACCACAUACAGUAAUACCUUGAUUGUGGUGAAAGAACCAAAUUUGACUAGUCAUAUUUUUUCUAUUUUUUUCUUUCUCUUCAGUUUGAACGUUCUACGAUAAUCAUU